GGGGUUGUAGCUCAGUGGUAGAGCUCUUGUCUAGUACUUGUGAGGCCCUGGGUUCGAUCCUCAGCACCA
rnacentral:tRNA from 1 species